UACAGAGGUCUCAAGCGUUGUUCGGAUUCAUUGGGCGUAAAGGGUGUGUAGGUGGCGCUGUAAGUCGGGUGUGAAAUUUCGGAGCUUAACUCCGAAACUGCAUUCGAUACUGCGGUGCUUGAGGACUGGAGAGGAGACUGGAAUUCAUGGUGUAGCAGUGAAAUGCGUAGAGAUCAUGAGGAAGACCAGUGGCGAAGGCGACUACCUGGCCUGUUCUUGACGCUGAGGCGCGAAAGCUGGGGGAGCAAACGGG
rnacentral:rRNA from 1 species